UACCAGCACCCCGAGUGGUCGGGACGAUUAUUGGGCCUAAAGCAUCCGUAGCCGGUUCUACAAGUCUUCCGUUAAAUCCACCUGCUUAACAGAUGGGCUGCGGAAGAUACUAUAGAGCUAGGAGGCGGGAGAGGCAAGCGGUACUCGAUGGGUAGGGGUAAAAUCCGUUGAUCCAUUGAAGACCACCAGUGGCGAAGGCGGCUUGCCAGAAUGCGCUCGACGGUGAGGGAUGAAAGCUGGGGGAGCAAACCGG
rnacentral:rRNA from 1 species